AUUGAACGCUGGCGGCAGGCUUAACACAUGCAAGUCGAGCGAGCGGCGGACGGGUGAGCAAUUUCUGGGAAACUGCGUGAUGGAGGCGGAUAACUACUGGAAACGGUAGCUACUACCGCAUACCAUCAGAUGUGCCCACAUGGGAUUAGCUAGUGGGUGGGGUAAUGGAUCACCUAGGCGACGAUCCCUAGCUGGUCUGAGAGGAUGACCGGCAAUACUGGGACUGAGACACGGUCCAGACUCCUACGGGAGGCAGCAGUGGGGAAUAUUGCACAAUGGGCGCAAGUCUGAUGCAGCCAUGCCGCGUGUGUGAAGAAGGCUUUCGGGUUGUAAAGCACUUUCAGCGGGGAGGCGUUACUCACAGAAGAAGCACCGGCUAACUCCGUGCCAGCAGCCGCGGUAAUAC
rnacentral:rRNA from 1 species